GAUGAAGAACGUAGUGAAAUGCGAUAAGUAGUGUGAAUUGCAGAAUUCAGUGAAUCAUCGAAUCUUUGAACGCACAUUGCGCCUCCUGGUAUUCCGGGAGGCAUGCCUGUUCGAGCGUCAUUAAAAUCAACUCAAGCUCUUUUGCUUGGUCGUGGAAGAAGAGUCUGCAUCGCAGUCUCCCCUCCGAAAUCCAAUGGCGGAAGGUCACUGGUACCCGGCGUAGUAUUAACGUUCGCUGUGUACCCGGAGCCUUUCCUGCCCAACAACCCCCUUUCUCGUGAUUGACCUCGGAUCAGGUAGGGAUACCCGCUGAACUUAAGCAUAUCAAUAAGCGGAGGA
rnacentral:misc_RNA from 1 species